rnacentral:rRNA from 1 species
GACGAACGCUGGCGGCGUGCUUAAUACAUGCAAGUCAACGACUUUUAGAGUAGCAAUAUUUUAAAGGAAGUGGCGCACGGGUGAGUAACACGUAGGUAAUCUGCCUUCAGGACUGACACAACUCGUCGAAAGACGGGCUAAUAUCAGAUAAUGCAGCGGCUCCGCAUGGAGACAGUUGUUAAAGUACAAGCGCCUGAAGAUGAGCCUGCGGUCCAUUAGCUAGUUGGUAGAGUAACAGCCUACCAAGGCAACGAUGGAUAGCUGGUCUGAGAGGAUGAUCAGCCACACUGGAACUGAGACACGGUCCAGACUCCUACGGGAGCAGCAGUAAGGAAUAUUGCUCAAUGGCCGAAGGCUGAAGCAGCAACGCCGCGUGAAGG